rnacentral:rRNA from 1 species
AUUGAACGCUGGCGGCAGGCCUAACACAUGCAAGUCGAGCGAGCGGCGGACGGGUGAGUAAUGUAUGGGAAACUGCCCGAUAGAGGGGGAUAACUACUGGAAACGGUAGCUAAUACCGCAUACCAUCGGAUGUGCCCAGAUGGGAUUAGCUAGUAGGUGGGGUAACGGCUCACCUAGGCGACGAUCCCUAGCUGGUCUGAGAGGAUGACCAGCCACACUGGGACUGAGACACGGUCCAGAAUCCUCCGGGAGGCAGCAGUGGGGAAUAUUGCACAAUGGGCGCAAGCCUGAUGCAGCCAUGCCGCGUGUGUGAAGAAGGCCUUAGGGUUGUAAAGUACUUUCAGUGGGGAGGCGUUACCCGCAGAAGAAGCACCGGCUAACUCCGUGCCAGCAGCCGCGGUAAUAC